UACGUAGGUGGCGAGCGUUGUCCGGAUUUACUGGGCGUAAAGAGCGCGCAGGCGGUCGUUCAAGUCGCGUGUGAAAGCCCCCGGCUCAACUGGGGAGGGUCACGCGAUACUGAUCGACUCGAAGGCAGGAGAGGGAAGUGGAAUUCCCGGUGUAGUGGUGAAAUGCGUAGAUAUCGGGAGGAACACCAGUGGCGAAGGCGGCUGCCUGGGCCUGGCCUGACGCUGAGGCGCGAAAGCGUGGGGAGCGAUCCGG
rnacentral:rRNA from 1 species